ensembl:lncRNA
CGCAUGAUAACAAUAGCAUUGCGCGAAUAAAGUUAAGUAGUACCGACUUCAAACACUGAUUUAAAAAAAAAAACUACAGGAUUGCAAAUGGAGAACUUUUGACAUUUACCUCAGGAACAAUAUAUCUUUGUAACUGAGUAAAAAGAUUGUAGAGCCCCAUAUGUCGGAACGGGAUGAAACGAUACGGCGUUCACCUUUCGGCCUCUUAAUGUGUGUGAUGUGGCUGAAGCAGAAGUGGAACAGGCCCUCUCCUCCAGCCCACUGUUAGUUUAUUCUAUACUUGUUUUUUUUCUGUAUCAGUUCUAUAUUCUACUGAAAAACUUGGAUUAGCACCUUUGUUCAAAUUUGAUGUGUGAAUAUUGAAUUGUACCCGAAAGGGAAACUGGGUAAGAUCGGCUUUAACAAGUAAACGAAGAAUAAAAGAAAAAAAAAAACAAAAAAACUGCACACACAUCAAACAGGAAACAGUUCACAGGCGGAGCCACAUUUCACAGAACACAGAUCAUUUCCCAGAAAUGAAAGUGAAAGUAGUUGUCAGUGUGAGCAGAGCUGCAGACGAGUGUGUGGAAGCUCCAACAAACCUUAAACCCACUGCAACACAUCUGCUUCAAGUGUCAUCUAAGGUUCUUGGGUGGAAACAGUCCACAGUGGAGCUCAGUGGAAGCGGUCCAGUCCCACCUGUGUGCUUCUGAAGCCUGGGUCCCUUCAGUCCCAAGGACAUUCAACUACAACUGUGGACUUUGUGCAGGAAGAUGAAAGUGUUGGUGGUGGUUGGGCUCCUCAUCCACGUUUCCCAGCAUGCACUGGCUGUAGUGGUGCAGGCGUAUGAGGGGAUGGAGUCGGUCCUGCUGCCCUACCAGCAUUCUGGCGGGUUCCCGAACAUUCCCUUUUCAGUGGUUUGGAAACGCUCUGAUCUGAACCAAACAGUUAUUCACCGGCUUGAAUACAUGAGUGGUGGCUGUCUGAAAGAGGAAUACCGACACAGUGAGCGCACGUAUAUGAAGCCCAACGCACAGAAAUCUGGAGACUUCAGCCUCACUGUGAAGAAACCACAACUGUCUGACAGCAGCAGCUACACCUGUAACCUCCAAUGGGAAACAGAGAGGGGCGAGCCAAAAGAAGAGAAACGGACAGAAGUACAGCUGCAGGUCAAAGAUGACCAGGAGGAGGUGGAGGUCCAGCAGGGGGCGAAGUCUAUCCAGCUGCCUUGUAAAGCUUCAGCCGAUCUGCCUGAAGACACCACAGUGGACUGGACUCACUUUGAUCCACAACUGAUGUUGGUCCACGUGUCCCGGAGUAAAACUGAUGAUCUUCAAACACAGGACAGGUCUUACCGUGGCCGCACACAGAUGAAUGAAGACAUGAGUCUGACUGUGAAAAAGCCCACAGACACAGACGGAGGUGUGUAUAUCUGCACCGUCUACAGGGAAGGAGACGUCCUGAGGUCUAAAGUCCUGCUCCAGGUGGUCCCAGGUCGUUCAGCCUGGGCCACAGCUUUCUGGGUUGUCGUUCCUGUUCUUCUAAUCGCUCUAAUCACUCUAGGACUUUUCUUUAUUUUCCGAGGGUAUUUUCCUUCAGUCCAACUGGUGGAGGUGGAUUCAGAGGAGGAGUCUGUCCUGCUGCCAUGUCAAACUAUAGCUCACCUGACAAAGAACUCCAGAAAUAUGAGCGUUAUGUGGAAGAACUUACACAACCAACAGAUCCUUGUGCAUAAGUACGGCUCUGGAGAACCUGAUGAACAGGACCAGGAUUACACAGACAGAACAGAGAUGAAGAAACACUGGCUGAGAACUGGAGACUUCAGUUUAACCCUGAAACACCCAACGGACCGGGACACCAACGAAUACUUAUGCACCAUCUACAACAAAGACAAGGUCCUGAAGGAGAAACGAGUGGUGCUGAAGGUCAGAGUCCAACAGGUGGAGGUGGAUUCAGAGGAGGAGUCUGUCCUGCUGCCCUGGAAAACCACAUUACAUAUAGAGGACGUCAGUCAGCUCACAGUGGAGUGGACGGACCGUUAUAACAGGAAGGUCCAUGUGUAUGAGGACGGCUCUGACAGAACUAAUGAACAGAACGAAAUAUACAGAAACAGAACAGAGAUGAAAGAAGACCCACUGAGAACUGGAGACCUCAGUCUGACCCUGAAACACCCCACAGACUGGGACACUAACACCUACACCUGCACCGUCUACAACAGAGACAAGCAGAUCCUGAGGAGGAAACAAGUGGAUCUGAAGGUCAAAGUUCAACAGGUGGAGGUGGAGGAGGGGGCGUGGUCAGCCCUGCUGCCCUUCAGAACGACCCCUGACCUGCCUCAGGACGCCAGAGUGGAGUGGAGGUACCAUACUAAUGACCGGAAAUACAUACAUGUCCAUGUGUCUGAGAAGAAGUCAGCUCAACCUGGUGAACAGGACGACAGAUACAGAAACAGAACAAAGAUGAAUGAAGACCCAUGGACGACUGGAGACUGCAGUCUGACCCUGAAUGACCUCCAACAGGACGACUCUGGAACAUAUGUAUGUGUAGUCAUCAGAGAUGAAGUCACCCUGAGAGGGAAAAGAGUGGAGCUGAAGGUCAAAGGUCAGAGUUCAGAUGCAGGUCAGAGGUCAGGUGUGUCUCUGUCCUCUGUCUCCUCUGCAGACAGAUCUCAGAUCAUAUAUCAGGUUCUUCCAAUAAGAGAAGAUGCAGAAGCUGAAGCAGCUGUUUGAUUGAUCUGUUGUGUGUGUGUUUGUGUUUGUCCAGUCCAACUCCUAAACUGAGGCUUGAUCUUAUUCCUCUUGAAUAUAUGAAACAGGUCAAUACAAUAGAAAUACACACACUUCAAAGCACUCAGACUGUGCUUUUCCACUCUUCAUUAUUGUAUUUCUAGUGUUUGUUUCUCUGUGAUGACAGUCUGUCCUCCAAACCAAAGAAAAUCCAAACUAUCAAAUCCAAACUUUCAGCUGCUACCAAAAGUAUUUUAGUUUAGUUUGUAUCGUGGACAAUACCAGAUAAUGAACUGUAUCAAUAAGAGUGAAAAGUUGCAGCUUUAGCCGACAUGUCUAUAAUCCUGCUGUAGUCCUCAGCCUGACGACAAUAGGAACCCUAAAAAAACAAUAGAUUACAGCAGAGUAAUUAAAAAGAAAGACUUCAGACAGCUAAGAGACCAGAUCCAUCAGUACAGAUAAACAGACUGUGGUGGACACAGCCACACAUGGGAACAUCUGUACAAACUAGAGCCCGGACCAUUAAUGGGGCCGAUUAUAGUGUAUCAGCAAUUAAUCAACAUCGGCCAAUAUGUAGCCGAUAUAUGAACUGUUUUUGCUGCACAGAGAUUCUGUGGCUUGCUGCUCCUGUGUGUGUGUGUGUGUGUGUGUGUGUGUGUGUGUGUGUGUGUGCUGCCCAGAGAAUCAGAGGAACUUUAAAGCGGGUUAGUUUCACUUUCACUCCUGCUCGGACAAUGACGCUAUCACCCCCCCACACACCAUCACAUAAUCACGGAGCAACCCCCCACCCCCCCACCCCCCGCGCACGCUCUGACAAGGAUGGACUGCUCCUCCCACCACCACCACAGCACUCCGACCCCCCCACCCCGGCGAAAAUCAUGGACCGCUACCGCACACUCUAACGAGGAUAGACCACUGAACCCCCCCCGUCUUAUGAAGUAUUCACCCCCCCACACACACCCCCAUGUCCGUGCACUUCCUGUCUCCCUCACAGUUUCAUUCUGCAGACAGGCCUGGCUUUUAACAGUGUAGGGGAGACUGGGGACAGUUGGCACACAGGUCGGUUGUAACUCUUGCAGUUCGUCCAAUCAGGAACAACUCAGGACUCGCCUAAUUCACUCUGCACAUGCUCAGUUUAGUCCUUAGUCCACAUGGGCAGUUGUAGUGUCGUGAGGCAGACACAUCAAUAUUUGUGAGUGAAAACAGAAUUGUGUGCUCAGUCAUAUUUUUUACUCUAAUUAUUUUUGUGAUCGCAUAGUUUGCAUUUGAACGUUGUGUCAAUUAUAUUUGUCAGAUAAACACAGAUUUAUGCAACUGUUUAUCCACCUGUCCACAAUUAUCUAAUAUCAGAUUAUUAUAUCCUGUGGAGAUCAGUGUUCUUAUUUCAUAUAUCGGCUAAUAUAUCGGUUAUCGGCCAAUAUUGGAUGUUGGCCGAAAUAUUGGAUAUCUGCUUUUUUUAAGCCCCCAAUAUCGGUAUCGGCCCCAAAAAUCCCAUAUUAGGCCGCAAGGUGAACGCCGUAUCGUUUCAUCCCGUUCCAACAUAUGGGGCACUACAAUCUUUUUACUCAGUUACAAAGAUAUAUUGUUCCUGAGCUAAAUGUCAAACGUUCUCCAUUUGCAAUCCUACAGUUUUUUUUAAAUCAGUGUUUGAAGUCGGUACUACUUAACUUUAUUCGCGCAAUGCUAUUGUUAUCAUGCGUGCUGCGGUUUGAGUCACGUGUAACCUGCUGGUCCAAUCAGAAAGCGCAAAACAUCCAAGAUGGCUGCGACCAGGAAGCGAGCUUCCUGUAGUUCAGAGGAGGAAAAUACAACGAAAAGUUUUAAAAAGCCAGCAAAAAUAUAGAAUAUACACCUCAUAUCCGUAAAAAAAGAAAAAAUACAGGAUUUUUCGGCCAAACGAUGGGAAACGUUAAGAAACUGUGUCGAACGAUGGCUUUAUUUGAGUGGUGAGAGCAGGAGUAUAACUGAAACUGAUAAACACUAUCACUACUGACUCUGACAAUGUUCCAGAAGAUGCUGGGUUUCAUGCAACAUGCUACAGACGAUUCAUUGAUAAAAAAAACAAAAAACGAUUGGAUUCCGCGGAGAAACAUAAAAGAGAGAAUUCAGAUGUCAGUGAAUCACAGGGAGGUGAGUCUGUGCAGCAGCACCGCAGGAUCAACAAGGGAAACUCUGAGGAAGAAAUAACGGUCCAGGAUGGAUCUACCUACUGUUUCAUCUGGUCCUGUUCUGUCCAGGAUGGGUCUACCUACUGUUUCAUCUGGUCCUGUUCUGUCCAGGAUGGGUCUACCUACUGUUUCAUCUGGUCCUGUUCUGUCUGCCUUAUGCAUAAUAUGUAAAAAAAAAAAAAAAAAAAAAAAAAAAAAAGUGGAUAAAUACAUCAUGGCAAAUGCACAAAGGAUCAUCUUUCACUGGCACAGACGUCAUCAGCAGCUGUGUAAAAAAAAAUAUAUAUAUCUGUCUCUCACACUCACACACAAAUACUGUAUAUAAGGAAGUGUGCAAGUUUAUUCUAUUCUCUACUACUGCUAUUACUACUAUUAUUACUGCUACUACUAUUACAUCUAUUACUACUAUUACUGAUCAUAACUCAUUCUCUCUCACACACAGUGCUGCUUGCAGCUUUGUGAAACUAGGUGUGUGUGUGUUUCAGAAAUGAGCCGCCUUCAGUGUCAGCUACCAGAUCUUCUGUUCUGUGAGCAGAUCAUCAGGCAAAGAAUUAUUAUUACUGUGAACCUCCACCAAACAUUCAUACACCAGAGUGAGUGGCACUGGGUGAAGUGUCUUGCCCUAGAACACAAUGGACUGACUAGGACAGAGCGGGAUUCGAACCGACGACCCUUCGGUUAUUGGACGACCUGCUCUACCAUCUGAGCCAUGGCCACCCAGUCUUACUGACAGUGUGUCAUUAUUGCUCCUUGGUAGUUUGCCCUGUCCGUGCCUCCAACAUGUGAUGCUCUACACCAACACUGCAAAAGGACAAACUACCAAACAGCAAUAAUGACACACUGUCUGAAAGGUAUUCUGUGUGCACCCUCACCCACUGGUAGUGGAUGGCACACUGAGGAUGGGGAGUCAACAGUGACCUGGAGGACUAAAAAUCCUGCUCCUCAAAGUGUUUUGCAGUUCGUCCACUGCACUUGGAAACAAGGCAAAUAAAAUGUGAUACAGACAGGUGUUCUGUAUGUCAGCAAGACUGUCUUUCACUGAUGUGUGUAGGUGGCAGCACUGUGUGAAUGUUCAGAAGGAAACAGGAGAUAGAGCUGCAUGGGAUGGUGUUUCUGACAGUGAUGGGGAUGAUUAGACAUGUUAUAGAACCAGGAAAUAUCCUCUAAAAAAAGCAUCCAUUGAACAAAAAUAAAAGUUUACAGUGUACUGUGUAUAUUAAAAACAUGUAUUGUUACAUGACAAACGAAUCAUUGUUAAAAGAAGAAAAGAAACCCUGCAACUGUAAACACUGUAAAUGUCAAACAAUGCUGUUACACUGAUGUAUGUGUUUGUGUGUGGCUAAAUUCACCAUGUGUAAUAUGUGAAAUCACUAGAAGCUUUUUCCCACAAAUUUCCAAGAUUUCAUGGUCUACAUUCACAUUGCAUGGUAAUAAUUCAUCAAGACUUGUCUAAAAUGUUAAUAUGUAUAAAUAUCAAUUUGUGAGAGAUUUUGUGUAGCUAAAAUGAAUGUUGAUAAAUAAAACAAGUGAAUCUAGCAUCAUAGAAUUUUCGUUUUUUAAUUUUAUAUUCAUAUAGAUUUUUGGCUUAUGACAAAAAAGUGCAGGAUAUAUUGAUAUAAGAACUUUUAACCCAAAGUCCAUGAGGGUACAGUCUAAACAAACCACUUUUCAUGGUUCACCUUGUGGCCUAUAUCGGUCAAACACACUAUCACCUUAUUAGUUUUCCUGUCUCAUUCUUUCUUUAACUUUGGUGGGCAGCUCAUGGUCUUCAUUUGCAGUCAGUCCUUUAACGUACACCAUGUAGUUUAUUUUGUAUUUCUUUAUUUGAAUGGUCCACUGUUGUAUAGAUGCACAUAUAUGAACAGUGUAGGGGGACCAUUACAUUAUUGAUGUUCUGUUCUGUUAAUCCUUGGUUCCUUUGUUUGAGUUUCCGUGUGGUGGAGUUUCCUGUCACCAUCCUGAUGUGGAAAAAAGGCGUGGCCAAGGGUGGAGCAACAUUAUAUACUGCAGCCACCUCAUCAGCAGAAACUAUGGGCUGUGUUGUCAUGGGGGGGGGGGGGGGGGGGGGGGGUGUAAUGUGCCCAAAGCUUCAGUUGUAUUUAGUUGUAGUUGGUGUCCAUUUUGUUUUGCCCUUGUUUGUUUCAUGCUUUGUCCAAACCUCUAUCCAUGCUCCCACUGAGUCUCAUUUUGGUGGGUCAGUUUUUGUCAGUUGGUUUGAUGCAUCAGUUCUUCUUCUCAGCCUUAGUUGUUAUUAUUUUGUGUACAGUUCUGUUAUGUGGACCUCUUUUGUAUACUUAAUUGUUAAAACUAUCAUUUGUAAUCUUUUUUUUAAAUAAUUUUGGGUGAAUCCAAACCCACAGCUGUCUCCUGGUUGUCUUACUGCUGGGUUUUUAACACAGAUAAAAGAGAACAGUAAAGCAUCAGUCCAGUCCUACAGACAGCACAUCCAAUCCAAACAUACAAAAGCAGCACAUCCAGUAGAAUCCCACAGAAUCCAUCAGCACAGGAUCACAGACACAGAUGGAAACAGACAUCACAUAUGGACACACAGCAUCCAUGACCAUGACACACACACACACACACACACACACACACACACACACACACACACACACACAUAUGUUAGUGUGUACAGGUGUAGAUGUGUACAAACUGUGUUUUUCAUGUGGCUGUAACAGUGCAGUAUGUAUGUGUAUGUGGAAUGUGGGGGGACGUCAGUUCCAGUUUAGUGUUGCUUGAACAGAAUGAGAACUGACCAAAUGUGCUUUUCCUGAAUGGGGCUGAGAAGUCACCCCGUGUGGAGCUUCUGCUGAUCGG